rnacentral:rRNA from 1 species
GGGCCUUCCCUUGGAAGUUGGGGGGAAACAGUUGGAACGACUGCUAAUACCGCAUAAUGUCUACGGACCAAAGGCGCGUGCUUCGGCUCUCGCCUUUAGAUUGGCCCAAGUGGGAUUAGCUAGUUGGUGAGGUAAUGGCUCACCAAGGCGACGAUCCCUAGCUGGUUUGAGAGGAUGAUCAGCCACACUGGGACUGAGACACGGCCCAGACUCCUACGGGAGGCAGCAGUGGGGAAUAUUGCACAAUGGGCGCAAGCCUGAUGCAGCCAUGCCGCGUGUGUGAAGAAGGCCUUCGGGUUGUAAAGCACUUUCAGUCAGGAGGAAAGGUUAGUAGUUAAUACCUGCUAGCUGUGACGUUACUGACAGAAGAAGCACCGGCUAACUCCGUGCCAGCAGCCGCGGUAAUACGGAGGGUGCGAGCGUUAAUCGGAAUUACUGGGCGUAAAGCGUACGCAGGCGGUUUGUUAAGCGAGAUGUGAAAGCCCCGGGCUCAACCUGGGAACUGCAUUUCGAACUGGCAAACUAGAGUGUGAUAGAGGGUGGUAGAAUUUCAGGUGUAGCGGUGAAAUGCGUAGAGAUCUGAAGGAAUACCGAUGGCGAAGGCAGCCACCUGGGUCAAACACUGACGCUCAUGUACGAAAGCGUGGGGAGCAAACGGGAUUAGAUACCCCGGUAGUCCACGCCGUAACGAUGUCUACUAGAAGCUCGGAGCCUCGGUUCUGUUUUUUCAAAGCUUAACGCAUUAAGUAGACCGCCUGGGGAGUACGGCCGCAAGGUUAAACUUCAAAUGAAUUUGACGGGGGGCCCCGCAACAAGCGGUGGAGCAUUG